rnacentral:rRNA from 1 species
GAUGAACGCUGGCGGCGUGCCUAAUACAUGCAAGUCGAGCGAACGGACGAGAAGCUUGCUUCUCUGAUGUUAGCGGCGGACGGGUGAGUAACACGUGGAUAACCUACCUAUAGGACUGGGAUAACUUCGGGAAACCGGAGCUAAUACCGGAUAAUAUUUUGAACCGCAUGGUUCAAAAGUGAAAGACGGUCUUGCUGUCACUUAUAGAUGGAUCCGCGCUGCAUUAGCUAGUUGGUAAGGUAACGGCUUACCAAGGCAACGAUGCAUAGCCGACCUGAGAGGGUGAUCGGCCACACUGGAACUGAGACACGGUCCAGACUCCUACGGGAGGCAGCAGUAGGGAAUCUUCCGCAAUGGGCGAAAGCCUGACGGAGCAACGCCGCGUGAGUGAUGAAGGUCUUCGGAUCGUAAAACUCUGUUAUUAGGGAAGAACAUAUGUGUAAGUAACUGUGCACAUCUUGACGGUACCUAAUCAGAAAGCCACGGCUAACUACGUGCCAGCAGCCGCGGUAAUACGUAGGUGGCAAGCGUUAUCCGGAAUUAUUGGGCGUAAAGCGCGCGUAGGCGGUUUUUUAAGUCUGAUGUGAAAGCCCACGGCUCAACCGUGGAGGGUCAUUGGAAACUGGAAAACUUGAGUGCAGAAGAGGAAAGUGGAAUUCCAUGUGUAGCGGUGAAAUGCGCAGAGAUAUGGAGGAACACCAGUGGCGAAGGCGACUUUCUGGUCUGUAACUGACGCUGAUGUGCGAAAGCGUGGGGAUCAAACAGGAUUAGAUACCCUGGUAGUCCACGCCGUAAACGAUGAGUGCUAAGUGUUAGGGGGUUUCCGCCCCUUAGUGCUGCAGCUAACGCAUUAAGCACUCCGCCUGGGGAGUACGACCGCAAGGUUGAAACUCAAAGGAAUUGACGGGGACCCGCACAAGCGGUGGAGCAUGUGGUUUAAUUCGAAGCAACGCGAAGAACCUUACCAAAUCUUGACAUCCUUUGACAACUCUAGAGAUAGAGCCUUCCCCUUCGGGGGACAAAGUGACAGGUGGUGCAUGGUUGUCGUCAGCUCGUGUCGUGAGAUGUUGGGUUAAGUCCCGCAACGAGCGCAACCCUUAAGCUUAGUUGCCAUCAUUAAGUUGGGCACUCUAAGUUGACUGCCGAUGACAAACCGGAGGAAGGUGGGGAUGACGUCAAAUCAUCAUGCCCCUUAUGAUUUGGGCUACACACGUGCUACAAUGGACAAUACAAAGGGCAGCGAAACCGCGAGGUCAAGCAAAUCCCAUAAAGUUGUUCUCAGUUCGGAUUGUAGUCUGCAACUCGACUACAUGAAGCUGGAAUCGCUAGUAAUCGUAGAUCAGCAUGCUACGGUGAAUACGUUCCCGGGUCU